GUCCAUGAAUCAGUAGGUCCACACUUUGGGCACACCAGUCCAUAAGCAUAGCAAAAGCAGAUUUCAUUGGCUGCUGGAUGAGCAACAGAAUUAAUCUAGCAGUUUUGUGGACACCACCUUAAUGCAGAACACAAGUUUUACCUUGAACUGAAGUCACAAAGGUGAGAUAAAACCUGAGCAGCAUGCAUACUGAACAGGUAUUUCUUGUAGAAGGCGGUCCCUUAUCCAAAGAAAAGACAUUAUCCAUAUAUCUUAGCCAUCAUCAGUAGCAGAAAAUUGAACGAAAUGUAUGAACGAAAAUUUAGCCAUAGAAACACUUGUGCAUCAAUAUUGUCAAGGCAGAGGUGCUUUUGACAGCAGAAACUGCCUGUGAAAUAAAUUUUA